GCGACUUUAGCUCAGUUGGGAGAGCGUCAGACUGAAGGUUGAUAACUUCAGUCCUACUGAAAUCUGAAGGUCUUGUGUUCGAUCCACAAAAGUCGCA